CGGCGCCCUCCUCCUCCUCCUCUGGGGGCGGCGGCGGUGGCGGCGACACGGCGCCGGGGGCUGGCUCUGGGGGCACGGGAGGCUGCGCCGGCGCGCCCUCUGCACCCUCCGAGACCCCUGCCGCUUCGCCCUGUGCCCCCUCGUCCAGGGCACCGCCCUCAGCCUCCUCCUCGGGGCUGUCGGUGAAAGGGUUCUCGCCCUGUGGGGAGGGGCGCGGACACUGAAGUGAGGGAGCACAGGCAGGGACUGAGGUGGGGACAAGCCCAGGCCAGGACCAGCGCCUCACCUUCAGGUAGCGCUCCAGCUUCUUGCUGAUGAGCUUGUUGUUGAGAAUACUGCGGGCCACCAUGAGCGAGGACUUCUUGGACUGCUCCAUCAUGAGCUGCGGGCAGGGCAGAAGGGGCUGGAGAGGCUGCUCUGAGUGCCCUACAAGUUCCCGCCCCGACCCUGCCAGUUUAGAGGGACGCCCCCCUGCCCCUCCACCCACGCUUCCACCCGCUUCCACCCGGAGCGCAGCCCCACCAACGGAGGGCCACUCUACAAGCAUGGAACCACAACCUAUCUGAUCUUUGUUCAAAUUCCUUCUCCUUCCACACCACACUUACUGUAGAAUUCCAAGAAUGAAGAAUUAUUCCCAGUCAUGCAAGGUUGAAGAGACACUUCUAUGCUGCUGGGAGGAUCAACUGUUUCCAUAUUUUUUGGAAAGCAGUUUGACAGAAUGUAUGAAAAGUAAAAAUCUGUUUCAUUAAUCCCUUCCCAGAACCUAUCCUAAAUUUAAGAAUUGGAAACAUACGUGCACACUGAUUGUAGUGGUGAAAAAUGGGAAAACACCUAAACGUUCCUCAGUGCAGAAAAGGUUAAAUAAAUUGUACAUU